CUCCUUUUCCUCAAGUGACGUUCUUUUGCCUGAAACCCAUUUUUUUCCCUUCUUCUCUUCGAGCUCGAUCUUGUCUUGCCAUGGUAGAAGUUGAUAUCUGAUGGUCUGGGUUUACUCGCAAUGGGCUGAAGAAACACUGAUUGGAGCUCUCUGUGAUGCUGUGAAGGUUUCUGGUAGCCAUGGUUUGAUCUUCUAGCUCAAUACUCCCUACCUUCGUGUUUUUGGGCCUAAUUUCGUAGGUUCUGUUCUGUAUUUUCUGUUGUUGUGUUGUAAAUAAGCUCAUUUCAUAUUUAUUGCUGACAUCUUAAUGAUUUCCUCCAUGUUGGUGCUUAUGUUAUCCUUAAUGUUAAAUGUUUAUCUUUCUUGUCCUGAUUCUUAAAGUUGGUAUUUGUGCUU